rnacentral:lncRNA from 1 species
CCCACAUUCCAGAUUAGAAAAUUGAGGCCAGUAUCUAGUUGUUAGUGAACAAAUGAGCCGUGCUUCUGGAUCUGAUGUUGGUGAUAUUUCUAUUGUGCUUCCCUGCAGUUUAGGAUGUGACUCUCUAGAACAUGGCAACCAUGUAAUCUUCCUAACUGGAGCAGCACCGACCCGUUUUCCUGAUGAGAAACUGUGUUUAGCAUGUGGCUCUCUAGAACUUGGCAACCAUGUAAUCUUCCUAUCUGGAGCAGCACAGACCCGUUUUCCUGAUGAGAAACUGUGUUUAGGAUGUGGCUCUCUAGAACUUGGCAACCAUGUAAUCUUCCAAUCUGGAGCAGCACCGACCCAUUUUCCUGAUGAGAAACUGUGUUUAGCAUGUGGCUCUCUAGAACUUGGCAACCAUGUAAUCUUCCUAUCUGGAGCAGCACCGAACAAUUUUCCUGAAUAGAAACUGUGUUUACGAUGUGGCUCUUCAGAACUUGGCAGCCAUGUAAUCUUCCUAACGGGAGCAGCACCGACCCGUUUUCCUGAUGAGAAACUGUGGUGAGUAUCGUUUAUAUCGUGAACAAAAGAGCUAUGAAUAUUGAUACAAAUUUGGUGGUAUUUCCAUUGUUUUUCUUAUCUG